AAGUCGUAACAAGGUCUCCGUAGGUGAACCUGCGGAGGGAUCAUUAACACAGAAAAAUGCAGCGCAAUAGCAGCAAUGCUCAUGCUUGCACUUUCUAUUCUCUCACCCAUCUAGCGUGAACUAUGAUGCCACUUUUUUUCUAUUAUAGCAAUUUUUUUGCUGUAAUAGUAUUUGCUUUGUGCAAUUAAUUAUUUACCUUUUCCAACCACAACACCAAUGUUAUAAUUCUUGCUGACACAUGUGUUUUCAUGUUCAGUGUAGUAUGACUUAACAUAUAGUAAAGUACAACUCUUAGCAACGGAUAUCUUGGUUCUC
rnacentral:misc_RNA from 1 species